rnacentral:tRNA from 1 species
GGGGCUGUGUCUCAGGGGCGGAGCAUCUGCUCGGCAUGCAGGAGGCCCCAGGUUCCAUCCCCGGCGUCUCCG